GGAGUGGGCUGGAGCAGCCCCGGCCUCGGGGGCUUCAGCCCCUGGUUGUGAGGUGCUGAUGGAAAAUGGUCAGGAAGGGCUGUGCCUGAGGGAAGGUGCAAAGGAGAACAGCAGCCCUUCUACUACUACUACCACCACCUCUCUGUUCUGUUUUUAUGGACUGUAUGUGGCUAGUGUUGAGCAAUUCUGCCCGCAGGAACCAGUUCCAAACAGCUUCAUGAGGUGAUCAUCACUUCACCAUCCAACCCCAAAAGUUUGAAUCCUCAGGAAUGGGUUUUAAACCCAGUUGUGAUCACCAGAAAAGCUGGACUAUGAUGAUGCCCUGCAAGUUCAGGGCAAGAGAGCAAAAAUCCACCUCGGUCUAAUAAAAGUACGUGGCAAAAAUGA